rnacentral:rRNA from 1 species
AGAGUUACGAUCCUGGCUCAGAUUGAACGCUGGCGGCAGGCCUAACACAUGCAAGUCGAGCGGAAACGAUCCUAGCUUGCUAGGAGGCGUCGAGCGGCGGACGGGUGAGUAACGCGUGAGAAUCUACCCAUGAGUGGGGGACAACCCGGGGAAACUCGGGCUAAUACCGCAUACGCCCCACGGGGUAAAGCAGGGGACCUUCGGGCCUUGCGCUGAUGGAUGAGCUCGCGUCGGAUUAGCUUGUUGGUGAGGUAAAGGCUCACCAAGGCGACGAUCCGUAGCUGGUCUGAGAGGAUGAUCAGCCACACCGGGACUGAGACACGGCCCGGACUCCUACGGGAGGCAGCAGUGGGGAAUAUUGCACAAUGGGCGCAAGCCUGAUGCAGCCAUGCCGCGUGUGUGAAGAAGGCUUUCGGGUUGUAAAGCACUUUCAGCGAGGAGGAACAGUUAGUAGUUAAUACCUGCUAGCCUUGACGUUACUCGCAGAAGAAGCACCGGCUAACUCCGUGCCAGCAGCCGCGGUAAUACGGAGGGUGCAAGCGUUAAUCGGAAUUACUGGGCGUAAAGCGCGCGUAGGCGGCUUACUAAGCCAGAUGUGAAAGCCCAGGGCUCAACCUUGGAACUGCAUUUGGAACUGGUUCGCUAGAGUACAGUAGAGGGUGGUGGAAUUUCCAGUGUAGCGGUGAAAUGCGUAGAGAUUGGAAGGAACAUCAGUGGCGAAGGCGGCCACCUGACUGAUACUGACGCUGAGGUGCGAAAGCGUGGGGAGCAACAGGAUUAAUACCCUGGUAGUCCACGCCGUAAACGAUGUCUACUAGCCGUUGGGAACUUGAUUCUUAGUGCGCACUAACGCACUAAGUAGAAC